rnacentral:rRNA from 1 species
UACGUAGGGGGCUAGCGUUGUCCGGAAUCAUUGGGCGUAAAGAGCGUGUAGGCGGUCCGGUAAGUCCGCUGUGAAAGUCGGGGGCUCAACCCUCGAAAGCCGGUGGAUACUGUUGGGCUAGAGUACGGAAGAGGCGAGUGGAAUUCCUGGUGUAGCGGUGGAAUGCGCAGAUAUCAGGAGGAACACCGAUGGCGAAGGCAGCUCGCUGGGACGGUACUGACGCUGAGGCGCGAAAGCGUGGGGAGCGAACAGG